UGCACUGCACUACAUGUAGUACUACUGCACUGUACUGGGGACUGGACAACGCAGCUGGUUGGUACAAGGUGGAGAGUAGUGCUAGUGAUCAGUAGAAUCAUGACUUCCCGAACAGUGAUCACAAUAGAGAAUUUCUUGUGAGGAAAUUUGAAGAAGGGAUGCACAGUUGUGGACAGAAUACUCUGAAUGCUCGACAAGCUGUACUGAGACUGGCUUGACAUUAAAUACUAUAAACGUGAGAUUGACCUGUCAACAUUGGUAUCAGGAUGAUAUACAUGCAGUCUCUAAAAUUGAGUCUGGUCAUGCUAUAUGCGAUAUGCUCUAUAGUCAGUAUGAUAUAGUCAGGCUAGUCACUGUGUGCACAUUGCUAGUCGGCUAGUCUGUAUGUACGUUGCUUAGUAACAGUAUUGAUCAUAGUCAACUGGUUAGUUACCUUGUAGGCUGACGUCACGUGACCAAAAUUGCAGAAAGCGCAAUGCUUUCUUGGCAUAUACUGUUUUAGGAUCUUUUUUGAACAUAAGCAGUCACUUAGAGAUGUAGAGAGUAUUUGUAUAGCUAGAAAGUAAUUGUGUAUAGGAUUACUUUAAUUAAAAAUCGGGAUAAGUUGUAACAGUUAUGUCGACUUUUUAAUUAAGGAGUCUUGAGCUUGCUUGUAGCUUUACCUUGGAUGCCUUAGACUUCUUUUUAGGUAUGUGGUCCAUAUCUGAUACCUAUACGUCAAAAAUGUACAUUGUCACUAACAAGCUGUCAUCAAAUACAUGCAUUUGUAAUUAAACUUCGUCUAGCCCCUAUAUACAAUUAAUUUCUAGCUAUACAAAUACUCUCUACAUCUCUUACCGUCUGCUUAUGUCCAAAAAAGAUCCUAAAAAAUUGCCAAGUAAGCAUUGCGCUUUGGACAGCAAUUUUGGUCACGUGACCAGUUAAUUGCGUUUUACCUCUGCCUUUUUACUAGCAUUUGCGUGAGAGUUGAGUAAAUUACCAGUAUAUUGAUCGUAGAGUCAACAUAGUUUAUUAUAAAGGGUUAAUAAAUAGAAGAGGGCAUGCAACAGCUUGCGAGCAAAAACUGUAAGUGCAUGGGCGGUGGAAUUUACUGGAAAAGUACAAACUACUUCUGAUUUUGUGUAAAGUACGUGUGCAGAUAGCUAUAAAAUAAAUUGAAUGCAGUUUUGCUCGCACAUUAAACUAAUAGUGAGUUGCAUGCCCUCUUCUCUUUAUCAGCCCUUGCAGCUAAUUAAGGUACAGAUGUUUUCACAGUUCACCCUGUACACAUCACCUGCUGUAAAGACUAGCAGUAUUGAUUGUAGUCAAGCAUUGGUUACUCUUAGGCUGUAGCCUGACACAUGUAGCUACUACUUGGUAGUAGCAUUGAUUGCAGUCAAUAUUGGUUAUGUGUAUACACGCUGCCUUAGUAUUAUAUGGACUUUAAUUGUAUUUGUAACAUGUACAUGCAGUCGGUAUUGGUUACACAUGAGAUGGCUUUAGCUUUGUCCAAUUAUUUAGUCUGGGAUCAUUAAUUAGUGUGUGUGUGUGUGUGUGUGUGUGUGCGUGCGUGCGUGCGUGCGUGCGUGCGUGCGUGCGUGCGUGCGUGCGUGCGUGCGUGCGUGCGUGCGCGUGUGUGUGUGUGUAAGUACAAUGCAGUAGCAAACGAUAUUGAGGGUAGCAAUGAGGAGGAGGAUGAGGAGGAACUAACGCCGGAAAAGAAGAGGCAGCUCAUUGUUCGGGUUGCUAAGAGACAUCAGGGAGAUGCCAAUCUGCUGCAAUCACUUGGUUGUGAGAUGGCUACAAUGAUGUUUGUUGAUAAAAAGGUUUUAAGUGUGGGAACCACAGAUGGGAAAAAUUUCUUCAAUCUCACCCUGCAAUCCUGUCAUCCUUCAGCUCCUACUUUCUGUAUGAUGACUUGUCCAAGAAACAAUUUGCUACCCCAGCCACUGCAGCCUCGGCAAGUACAACCAGUCUCAACACAAAUUCCAGCUCAUUCAAUGUUACCUCAACAAACGUAAACCCAAUCAACACCACCUCAUCUACUACAUCCAAAGCUGUUAUUUCCACUGUGAAGAAAUCAACCACUAAAACUACAACCAAAGCAACACCUUCUGGAAUCUUGUCCAAUCAAGCUAUUUCUAACACUGAUACCGUCAGUACGAUUUUUAUGAAAGGCAGAGAUGGAAGUAUUGUUGCGACAGGUACAGUGCUUCCUGGUGUACAUAAAACCAUUCAUGGUCGUCCUUGCCAAAAAGAUUGUGAAACGCUUUCCGUUGUGGAUGUUGUACAAGUUGGUGCUGAAGCUUGGUUUGAAGAUGCUUUUGGGGAAAAUAAAUUGAGCACAGGGAUCAUCGUGGAAUGGCCGAGCAGUAUGAUAUCAAACGUAGCUGAUGUCUCCCCACUUCAUACAAGAACUAAUCGCAAACGUAAAUAACCAGCUGACUAUAAAACUACUAUGAUAAUUGUUAUAAUUAUUGUAUAUACAAUUGUAAUAGGAAUGGUAAAGGUUUCCUUCCAUUUUAUUCGCGAUUCUAUAUUCUCUCUAUCUUGUGUACUGUAUACGUAAGUAAGAUUACGUUAUUAUUGUUUGUACGUACGUAUAUAAUUAUGUAUGUACAAUUGUAUGUAUGACAUAGAUAAUAAUUUAUGUCCGAGUUUAGGACUAUAUAUAUAAUUGUCAAAACUA